rnacentral:rRNA from 1 species
GAUGAACGCUGGCGGCGUGCCUAAUACAUGCAAGUCGAGCGAACAGACGAGGAGCUUGCUCCUCUGACGUUAGCGGCGGACGGGUGAGUAACACGUGGAUAACCUACCUAUAAGACUGGGAUAACUUCGGGAAACCGGCGCUAAUACCGGAUAAUAUAUUGAACCGCAUGGUUCAAUAGUGAAAGACGGCUUUUCUGUCACUUAUAGAUGUAUCCGCGCUGCAUUAGCUAGUUGGUAAGGUAACGGCUUACCAAGGCAACGAUUCGUAGCCGACCUGAGAGGGUGAUCGGCCACACUGGAACUGAGACACGGUCCAGACUCCUACGGGAGGCAGCAGUAGGGAAUCUUCCGCAGUGGGCGAAAGCUUGACGGAGCAACGCCGCGUGAGUGAUGAAGGUCUUCGGAUCGUAAAACUCUGUUAUUAGGGAAGAACAAAUGUGUAAGUAACUAUGCACGUCUUGACGGUACCGAAUCAGAAAGCCACGGAUAACUACGUG